GUACAAGCCCACAGGAUGGGUGAAACGCGUUUUCCAGUAGCCACAGCAGGGACCAAGGACUUUGGGAGUAUUUCUGUGAUCCUGUUAAUCCCAGACUUACCCAGGGACCUGGGCAGAGACCGCUCCACAGCUGCUACUCGGUGAGAUGAUCCAGUGACCAAAGCAUGUGCAGAAGGGAGAGACUUACCAAAUACAGAGGACCGCCGGAGAAGACUGCAUUGUUGGAGCCCUGGUUAUUGGAUCGCAUCACAAGAAAGGUUUACACAGGUUUGACUAACCAUGUUUCUAUAGCAGCAGCUCUAUCAUUAGAACAACAGCCCUCCUUGCGCCUGAUCCUAACCUCGGUUGAUUCUAUUUCUGCUUUUACAUAUACAAUUAUGUCUUGAAAUAAAAAGCACAUAUUUUUUUCUACACAAUUUCAUGUGCUUCAUUAUGAAAACUUUAUACUGUUUGAAAAAGUUCAGCCAUGUUGGUUGCAUAUUUAAAAAAAGUCAUAGGCAUUUUUUUACGCUUCUCAAAUGGAAAUGCUGACCUUGAUAUACAGUAUAUAGCAACAGAUGUGGUGCAUUUUGAUACUAUGGCGUUGCGUGGCACCACUACCAGGGGCACAUAUGCAACUUGGUGCAGGUUGAUGGAACCGGGGAGCCAUCUUCCUACCCCAAGUUGCAUGUGUGCCCCUGACUGUGGUGCCACUCAACGCCGUAGUAUCAAAAUGCACCACAUUUGUUGCUAUAUAUAGCAUUUUUGUUAUGUCAAAAAUGUAAUGAUGCAGAUGUGUUGCAUCAUGAAAACUUUAUACUGUUUGAAAAAGUUCAGCCAUGUUGUGUCUUCAAAUAAAAAGCACAUAUUUUUUUUAUGCAAUUUCAGUUUGCAAAAUAAAAAAUUUUGUUACACGACAA